GAACGCUAGCUACAGGCUUAACACAUGCAAGUCGAGGGGCAGCAUUUCAGUUUGCUUGCAAACUGGAGAUGGCGACCGGCGCACGGGUGAGUAACACGUAUCCAACCUGCCGAUAACUCGGGGAUAGUCUUUCGAAAGAAAGAUUAAUACCCGAUGGCAUAAUUAGACCGCAUGGUCUUAUUAUUAAAGAAUUUCGGUUAUCGAUGGGGAUGCGUUCCAUUAGGCAGUUGGUGAGGUAACGGCUCACCAAACCUUCGAUGGAUAGGGGUUCUGAGAGGAAGGUCCCCCACAUUGGAACUGAGACACGGUCCAAACUCCUACGGGAGGCAGCAGUGAGGAGUAUUGGUCAAUGGGCGCAGGCCUGAACCAGCCAAGUAGCGUGAAGGAUGACUGCCCUAUGGGUUGUAAACUUCUUUUAUAUGGGAAUAAAGUUUUCCACGUGUGGAAUUUUGUAUGUACCAUAUGAAUAAGGAUCGGCUAACUCCGUGCCAGCAGCCGCGGUAAUACGGAGGAUCCGAGCGUUAUCCGGAUUUAUUGGGUUUAAAGGGAGCGUAGGUGGACAGUUAAGUCAGUUGUGAAAGUUUGCGGCUCAACCGUAAAAUUGCAGUUGAUACUGGCUGUCUUGAGUACAGUAGAGGUGGGCGGAAUUCGUGGUGUAGCGGUGAAAUGCUUAGAUAUCACGAAGAACUCCGAUUGCGAAGGCAGCUCACUGGACUGCAACUGACACUGAUGCUCGAAAGUGUGGGUAUCAAACAGGAUUAGAUACCCUGGUAGUCCACACAGUAAACGAUGAAUACUCGCUGUUUGCGAUAUACAGUAAGCGGCCAAGCGAAAGCAUUAAGUAUUCCACCUGGGGAGUACGCCGGCAACGGUGAAACUCAAAGGAAUUGACGGGGGCCCGCACAAGCGGAGGAACAUGUGGUUUAAUUCGAUGAUACGCGAGGAACCUUACCCGGGCUUAAAUUGCAAAUGAAUUAUGGGGAAACCCAUACGCCGCAAGGCAUUUGUGAAGGUGCUGCAUGGUUGUCGUCAGCUCGUGCCGUGAGGUGUCGGCUUAAGUGCCAUAACGAGCGCAACCCUUAUCUUCAGUUACUAACAGGUCAUGCUGAGGACUCUGGAGAGACUGCCGUCGUAAGAUGUGAGGAAGGUGGGGAUGACGUCAAAUCAGCACGGCCCUUACGUCCGGGGCUACACACGUGUUACAAUGGGGGGUACAGAAGGCCGCUACCUGGUGACAGGAUGCCAAUCCCAAAAACCUCUCUCAGUUCGGAUCGAAGUCUGCAACCCGACUUCGUGAAGCUGGAUUCGCUAGUAAUCGCGCAUCAGCCAUGGCGCGGUGAAUACGUUCCCGGGCCUUGUACACACCGCCCGUCAAGCCAUGAAAGCCGGGGGUACCUGAAGUACGUAACCGCAAGGAGCGUCCUAGGGUAAAACUGGUAAUUGGGGCUAAGUC
rnacentral:rRNA from 1 species